UACGUAGGGUGCAAGCGUCGUCCGGAAUUAUUGGGCGUAAAGAGCUCGUAGGCGGUCUGUUGCGUCGGCUGUGAAAACCCGGGGCUCAACUCCGGGCCUGCAGCCGAUACGGGCAGACUAGAGUUCGGCAGGGGAGACUGGAAUUCCUGGUGUAGCGGUGAAAUGCGCAGAUAUCAGGAGGAACACCGGUGGCGAAGGCGGCUCUCUGGAACGCAACUGACGCUGAGACGCGAAAGCGUGGGGAGCAAACAGG
rnacentral:rRNA from 1 species